UAUAGCAGAUUUUUGGACAUGGGCAAAGGUGAUGACGUUGACAUGAAAACUGGCUGAUCCGGUGAAGUUAAAAUUUGAUAAAUACUGGGAUAAUUUGGACAAUAUGAAUUACUUAUUAUAUGUGGCUGCUAUCCUUGACCCUCGUUAGAAGCUCAAAUAUCUGAAAUAUUACUUUGAAGAGAUCCAUGAUCAAUUUAAAAGGGAGGUUAUGGUGGAGAAAGUGAAAGACACAUUGACAAUAUUGUUUGAUCACUUUAAUGAUGGUACAGAUGAUAAAGGAGAGAGUAUUGACCAAAUUCAACCACCUAGUAAAUCAAUGAGAGUUGAGGACAAUGAUGAAGAUUGUGUGAGGAUGUUUGCUUCAAGGGUGGCCAUGAGAAUGAGAGCUUAUGAGAGUUUGGUGAAUCAGAUAGAGGUGGGGAGGUAUUUGGAUGAGACUUGUGAGAACUAUAGUGGAAAGUUUGACGUAUUGGCUUGGUGGAAGGUCAAUGGUAGCAAAUACCCUAUCUUUCUCGUGUGGCUAGGGCUGUGUUAGCUAUACCGGUAUCUAUCAUUGCUUCAGAGUCUACUUUUAGCACUAGUGGGCAAGUUAUUGGGCCAUAUAGAAGCUCUUUAUCUCCAAAAACAGUGGAGGUCCUUGUAUGUGCACAAAAUUGGUUAAGGGAGAAACCACUUUCAAUGGACAUUGAAGCCGAGAUGGAAGAUGUUGAGAAACUACAAGAAAUUGAACAUGAAAUGGGUUUGCCUGAAAUUAUGGUGGAGUGUGACCUUGCUAUCAUGGAAUGAGCAUUGAGCAGUGCAAAAGGUGAUUGCUAAAGAGUGAAGGAUGAAAAAUGAAGAAUUUGAAGAAAAUGAACUACACAACCUUUUGAUUUUCUGAUUACUAAUUAGCAUUGUAUGAUGUCUCUGCAUAUUUUAGAAUUUAGAUUUUGGACUAUUGUUAAAUUUUGUCAAUUUGUG